CAGUAGCCACGGUAAUACGAAGGGUGCAAGCGUUACUCGGAAUUACUGGGCGUAAAGCGUGCGUAGGUGGUGGUUUAAGUCCGUUGUGAAAGCCCUGGGGUCAACCUGGGAAUUGCAGUGGAUACUGGGUCACUAGAGUGUGGUAGAGGAUAGUGGAAUUUCCGGUGUAGCAGUGAAAUGCGUAGAGAUCGGAAGGAACAUCUGUGGCGAAGGCGACUAUCUGGGCCAACACUGACACUGAGGCACGAAAGCGUGGGGAGCAAACAGGAUUAGAUACCCCAGUAGUCCCUGUCUCUUAUAC
rnacentral:rRNA from 1 species